ensembl:lncRNA
CCCUGCCUAUGUCUGCCUGGCUGCGCCCUGUUUGCAGGCAAUUCUGCCUUAUCAGCAUUACUGAUUUCUCACCCAAAUGCUCUCCAGGCUUGCUCUUUGGCACCAGAGCAGCUUGGAGCAUCUUUCAGAGGAGGGGUGGAUGGGCUGAUUCAGAUGUGAUGCUCAGCCUCAUCACCAAUGCUUUCUUUCACAUGUGGGAGGACAGCUGCUGAUUCUCCCCUGAGCUGCCAGGCAGCAGUUGCCCACAGGCCUUGUCCAGAUGCUUGGCUUGUUUGAAGAGCUUUCCUGCAAGAUAGGAAUCUCCUGGGAAAGGUGGCUCAGCAGAGGGAGUGGGCACAGAAACCUGCUGGGAAAUGGGCAGCACAGAGCUCACGCAAGCAGCAUAGCAUCAGGUUUCCACCGAGCCCAGGGCUGCUGUCCUUCCUUGGGAGCAGACCCUGAGCUGUGCAGUGCCAGACCUGUGCUCAGCUCACACUCGCUCUGGGCUGCCCCCUGCACUUAUCCAAUGCUGUUUGCCUUCUGUUAUUGCCUUGAGGCUUUCCAUGCUGUCUGAGCAAGCUGGCUGGUGGCCCUGCAGCCUGCCCUCCUCUGCAGACAGGUGACUUUCCAGCACCAACAAAAUGCACUGAGUCCCCUCCUGCUCCUCAGCUGGACAGUUUGCAGCAGUACAGCCUGUAACACAUCAUACUGCUUUGUUUAUUCAGAGGCAGGCGUAUUUAAGAGGCGCUGGGCUUAUCUUAAGUCUACCACUUACAAGCAGAAGGAAGGCCCCAGUCUGCUGAAGGCCAGCAGGGAUGUUUGGCUGCAGCCACCCCUCGCAGGUGAUUAAUGCUGCUGGGGGAACACUGUUAUAAACGCAAUGAACUCAGCAUUUUGAGGAGGGGAAUGUGACCCCAUUCCCCAGCCUCACCCUUUCCAAAGCCUCCCUGCUCCCUUAGCCUGGUAAAUGCCACUGAUGAGAGCAGAGAGAUCGCAGCCAUCCAUCUCCAGAAGCCAUUUUUCAGUGGGACUAGAUUCCAUUUAGUCCCUGGACUUACCAGUCUGUUUGGCAAAAGGGAUUUCAUUCCUUUGCUUCUUUUUGUCAGGAUGGAUUUACUGAUCCCAAACACGUUCCUCACACUUUAUUUAGGGCUUAAAGCGCAUCAUUUACAUUGCGGAGCUGUCACCAGCCUGUCUGAGCUGCAGAGGCAGACAGGCAAUGCAUUUCCCUUGCCCCUCUGUUCUCCCUGCCAGAUGUGAGGAUAACGCAUCAAGGAGGUCUCUCAGUAGUUACAAUUUGCCCUUCUGGGAACUGUUGCCUAUUCCCCACCAUGCUGGGGCAGCAGGCUCAGAGUGGAUGGGUGUUCUCCCCCAGCUGCAUUGCAUACAGACAUGCAUACAGACAUGCCACCUGUAACACACAGAGAAUUCCAUGCUCUCACUAAGAGAUACCAGGCAAUGACUGCUGAGCAUACCAGAACCCCCCUCACCUUUGCCCCCAGGACCUGCUCUGCUGUCUCUCCAGCACUGGAUGGAGGCGAAGCACUAAACAGCCGUGCAUUUCCACACAGGUGCUUGGCACCUGCUUUGCUUUAUGAAAAAAAGCAAUCCAUUUUCUAGCCUGAUCUCAAUUGCAUUUCUAAUUUUAGCCAAGCAGCUCUGCAAUGGGACUGGCUCGCACUGGAGCUGAUUGCAGCUGGUUUGUGGCACGGCAGCAAAGCCGGCCGCUCACUGUUGCUGGUCUGCACCUCACCUCCUGAUGGCACAGGCCAGCAAAUGGGACAGAUGCACGGCAGCACCCUGCUGCUGGCACAGCCACCUCCCCAGGGCUGGCAGGGGGUACACAUUUGGUUGCUUGCUUUCUUCUUCAGGAGUCAGACCCUGCUCAGGACUUCUUUGCUCUUGCCCACUGUCCCUAUAGCAGCCACUUCAGGCCACGUUUCUCCCUUUGCAGCCACAAGCCAUGCUCGUUCUGCACUUAACCUGGUCCAUGGUUACCCAUCCUACGCACAGCACGAUGAACAGAGACAGAGCUCCCAACCUCUCCAUCCUGAAGGAACCUGAAGCUUCUCCCAGGCCUUCCCAAAUGGAGCCGCUGACCUCUGGGAGCUCUGGAAGCCCAAGGAACAAGCAGCAUUAGCAUGAUCGAUCCCUGAUGAUAGCACAGAAGGGAGAGCAGGCAGGAUUUACAUUCUGUCCCUUACGGAUGGUUUGGCUGACAUAUUAAAAGCCGGAUGGAACAUAAAAAUGGAAUUUAUUCAAAUUAAAUGGUUGCAAAUGUCAUACUACAUUGAGCCAGAAAGUCUUCCUACACGCAACAAACCAAAUCUAUGCUUCUAGAAAGCAUGCAAUUUUACCUGCCACUUCCUCCAAAUGAUGUCCUCAUCCUGGAUUUCUGAUUCAAUCCCAAAGAACGAACAGCAUCGUCCUGUCAGGGUGCCAGCAUCUAUCCAGAAAGCCACCAUAUACUUCUUUGAUUAAUUGAAUGAGAGCUGUUUCUUUCCAGGUGAACAGCAAAACGAUCUGCAGAUGUGACUUUACCAGCAGUUGUUAACAUUUAACAUUUGCCCUGCAAUUCCAAAUCACUAACUCAUGAAGUGAAAGGGAAGCCAUGUGGCUUUGGAAGGGCUGUGGCUGUGGGUGCUGACAUUGGCAUCCCUCAGCAGGAGCACAUUAAAACAUGGGGGAUCUCCCUUCCUUUUUGUGUACGCUCCUCAGGUCACAGAAGCCUCUGAGUGUGCAGAAGAGGCACUGUGCCCUCUGCUACCAUCAGCACUGCCCUCCUGGGCCCAGGCCUGAGGGUGCUCUGCGCAUUCUCCUUCCACUUGAAUGAAUCAUAGUGCUUCAGAGCGCACCAGAGCUGUGAACUGUGUGUACGUAGGGCAGCCGUGAGCUGGAAAUUCCCAAUGAAUGACAAAACCACAAAGAUGAAACAAGCAAAACCUGAGGACGCAGUUACCCACCCACGUGGCAACGACAGGAUGGAGCACAACCCCUGGCGCUCUCUUGCCUGCUCCUUCAGACAGCAUCACGCAGACCCGGAGCCAUUCAGCAGCAGCCAGCUCGUAUUUCUGGGGAUUUCCAGUGCAGAGAGCAGAGCUUAGCACCCCAGCCCUGCUCAGCCCCCAGAGCCCUGCUGAGGUGAUGGCUCCUCUCCAAGAUGGACUUAUUUUAAGCACAUGACUGCUCUGACUCGAGAGAACCGGCUUUGCUUUCUGCCUGCUGCUCGAUAUGUGUUACCAUUCGGUUUUGGGGUCGGGGCUCAGCGCUCAGCACCUCGCAGUGCUGCUGAGGCUCAGGGGGACAGUGCACCUUGCCUUGAUGCUCAGCCUGCUUCCAUCAAUGCCUUGUAAAUGCAAAGCUCCGGCUCUCAUUACCGCUCCUCCGAAUCAGCCCGUCCCCCUCUCUACAUGAGAUAUGUUUCGAAUGAUAGCAUUUGUCUUUAAUAAAUGGUCACUCCAUAAACCGCCUCCUAUGGGAAACCUGGGCUUUGUAAGUAAAACCUGAUGUUUCCAUUUCAUUAUAAUGCAUUCGCUAUUAAGGAUGAAUACCAACUCAUCCCCUGUUUAAUAUCAGCCUAAGGUGUGCACUGGUUUAGUAUUACUAUUUAUGAAAUUCAUAUAGCCGGCCUUAAUCCGUUUCAGAUCCCACAGCUGCACCCCUAUCAGCAUCAACUUGACCUGAAAUUGGGACAUUCACCUUUGCUGGAGUCCACGACAUCAGUAACAUUCCGGGAUAGAUAAGGAGCAAAGCUCCCUGCAACCCCACAGAAAGUCCAACUGUAGGAUUAAAGACCUUUAUCAGGUAGUCGGCAUAUCCACGUCCUUCUCUGGCUUAAGCAAAUGUAAAGCGUGUGCAGAGCCAUCCCUUGGAUCCACGCUUCAUGUUUCACAGCCAUCCAUCAUCUCCCUGCGCUGCAUCCCUCAGACAGCAAACCAAAGACAGACUAUCGAGAGUGGUGACAAUUACAGCACACACCAGCCAGCUGCAUGUGGAGUCAGGCAGUAAGCAGAAGCAAGCAGAAAAAUGCAGCAGCUCACACUGAAGGAAUGUCAACAGACAUGAAAACUGAAGUCUCUUCCCUCCCAUCAAAAUGCUUCCUAUAAAGCUGCAAAUCAAACAGCUUGGCAGCACACUCCAAACACAAGCAAUACAUCUUCACUUCUGCCACAGGCUCUUAGCUAUCAGAAAAGGGACAGGUAGAUGGAUGAGAGAGCUUGCUAUUAUCUUUGUUCCUUGCUGUAUCCCAACAUACAACCUUGUUUGUCAGAUGGAUUUAGAGCGACAGUCUCUCCAGACACCAGCAGUCAGCUGUCACAAAAGAGCUAGGAGGU